rnacentral:lncRNA from 10 species
UUUUCAUAAGAAGGCUUGCCCAAGCUUGAGGAUCUGGUUCCUGAGGUCUUCUUUGAGCCAAGACUCUUGGUGUGAGAUGUAUGAGGACCAGGGUCCACAGAUGAGUCAGUUCUGGAGGCUGGAAGUCCUGGAGUCUAGCAGUUCUUGGAGGCCGGAAGAUCAAGGCGUUGACCCUGCCAAUGCCACCAGCAGUGAACCAGCCUAGGCUAGCCCACUGCCCCCAAGAAGCAGAGGAGAAGUCGUCCUAAGUGGGCCAAUAGCCAGCCAACCUCCAAAAGGUGAGGAACACAGCCAAGAUCCAUGAAACGGACGCUCACGUGACUUGAAUGCUGACCACAGACACCUGAGUGAGUCCAGCCCAGCCCAACCCAGAAGAACCACCCAUCCAAACAGCAGACCCACAAGCUAAAUAAACGUUUUCAAGUUUAACCCACUGGGUUUUGUGUGUGUUUGUUAUGUGACAUAUUGUAGUAAAUAACUGAUACACUAGUUCAAAUUAAUUUGUGGCUGCUUAG